rnacentral:rRNA from 1 species
GCGUAUGCUUGUCUCAAGGAUUAAGCCAUGCACAUGCCAGUAUAAGCCACACUGAUGGCGAGACUGUGAAUGGCUCAUUAAAACAGUUAUAAUCUACACAAUGUUUCCGAGUUAUAUGGAUAACCCUAGUAAUGCUAGAGCUAAUACAUGCCGUAGUUCAAGAAAGUUUUAAACUUUUUUGGACAUGCACUUAUUAGUGAUCCUACUUGAACAUUUUACUUUUUGUAAAAUGUUUAACUGUUGAAUCAUGAUAAUUUUGUGGAUUGAUAGUAAUUAAACUAUUGACGCAUUGUUUGAAUUUCUGCCCUAUCAACUUUUGACGGUAGGAUCGAGGCCUACCGUGGUGUUGACGGGUAACGGGGAAUUAGGGUUCGAUUCCGGAGAGGGAGCCUGAGAGAUGGCUACCACAUCCAAGGAUGGCAGCAGGCGCGCAAAUUACCCAAUCCUGACACAGGGAGGUAGCGACAAGAAAUACCGAUAGAUAGCAUUUUAAUGUUAUCUUAUUGGCAUGACUUUGAUUUAAAAGUUGAAAGGAGUAACGAUUGGAGGGCAAGUCUGGUGCCAGCAGCCGCGGUAAUUCCAGCUCCAAUAGCGUACACGAACGUUGUUGCAGUUAAAACGCCCGUAGUCGGAAAUGUGAGUGAUAGCAGUGAUUUUCUUUUUUUUUGAAAAAGAUGAUACUGCUAUGCUCAUAUUGAAAUGAGAAUGAUAAUGAUCUUGAUUGAUUGUUUAUUAUUUUUAUUUUUAUUUACUGUGAAAAAAUUAGAGUGUUUCAAGCGUUUCAAAUGAAAGGAUAGCGUAGCAUGGUAUAAUAGCCNUUUAUAAGAUUUGAUACUUGAGUAGGAGAGUAUUGAAUCUUUUCAAGUCAAUAGGGGUAGUUGGGGCCAUUUGUAUUCCAUAGUCAGAGGUGAAAUUCUUGGAUUUUUGGAAGACGACCGGAUGCGAAAGCGUUUGGCAAGGAUAUACCCAUUGAUCAAGGACGAAAGUUAGGGGAUCGAAGACGAUUAGAUACCGUCGUAGUCUUAACCAUAAACGUUGCCAUCUAAAAGAUGGUGUACUGACAUNNAAUCGUACAUCCUUUUUUUCCGGGAAACCAAAGAUUUUGGGUUCUGGGGGGAGUAUGGUCGCAAGUCUGAAACUUAAAGGAAUUGACGGAAGGGCACCACCAGGAGUGGAGCCUGCGGCUUAAUUUGACUCAACACGGGGCAACUUACCAGGUCCGGACAUUUUUAUGAUUGACAGAUUGAUAGCUCUUUCAUGAUUGAAUGGGUGGUGGUGCAUGGCCGUUCUUAGUUGGUGGAGUGAUUUGUCUGGUUAAUUCCGUUAACGAACGAGACCUUUUCCUGCUAACUAGUAGCAAAAUUUUUUUGAAGAAAUGUUGUCUACUUCUUAGAGGUACUAUUCGUUUUUCACGGAUGGAAGCUUUAGGCAAUAACAGGUCUGUGAUGCCCUUUGAUGUCCUGGGCUGCACGCGGGCUACACUGAUGCAGUCAAAGAGUGAACAAUAUCCUAUUCUGAAAGGAUCUAGGUAAUCUUUUAACUUGCAUCGUGCUUGGGAUUGAAUACUGUAACUGUAUUUAUGAACGAGGAAUUCCUUGUAAACGCGAGUCAUCAACUUGCGUUGAAUACGUCCCUGCCCUUUGUACACACCGCCCGUCGCUCCUACCGAUUGAACGAUCCGGUGAAGCGUACGGACUGUGAUAUUUAUUUUUUUGAAAAUGGAUAUUAUGGGAAGUACGUUGAACCUUAUUGUUUAGAGGAAGGAGAAGUCGUAAC